AUGUGGCGGGCGAGGGGAGUGGAGGUGGUGUCGGUUCAGUUUUUGGUGAGAGAAAAAAGUAUUUUUACUGAUAGAGAUUUUAGCUCCUCCCAAUUCUUGCUUAAAUUAUCCAACUCUUGGGUUAUAAAUUUGCUUUUUAGUGACAGCAUAGCUGCAGCCUGCAGGGUCUCUGAAGAAUGGGUCUUCAUCAGAGGGCAUGUCUCCUGGCAAGGGGGCAUUUGCUGCCUGCUGCCCAGCUCUGAGCAACAGCCCGGAGCCCUGCUGGCUGCUCUCCGAACCCUGAAGCCGGCUCUGAGUUCGACCAAUGCUCAGCCUUCGCUGGAGCGGCCAGGGCUCUCAUCUGCUGCUUCCAUUUCAGGUCAGAGGCCUCAUCUUCCUAGAAGUUCAUUCUUCAGAUUGUCAGCAACAAUGUCCAUGAAAAUGAGGUACACCACUUCCUUCAGGCCUGGAGGGCCACAAAGACCUUUACAGGAGGAGCAACAAAGUAUAGCUGCCUGAGACAAAAAUCUAUUCAAGCUUAAAAUGCAAGAGCAUUAGCUGCUCAGAGCCGUCACCAAGGAGAGAUAAAAUACGUCUGCUCUCUCAAGACCUGGGAGAUGCUAGCAGUGUGAUUGUUUUUUUGGCUGGGAAAGCUGCUUAGCCGACAGAAAAAGGAACGUACCUGAACAUUUAUGGGUUGGCUUUUCAAAGAGAGCAUCCCGUCUUCCUUUCACCCCUCCCUCCUCCCCUUCCCUGUAAAGGAACACUUAGCAAAAGUAAAUAAAUUAUCAGCCCUGGCCAUGCAGAAAUGCCUCUCACAGGGUAAUGCAGGGAUGUCUGAAGCCAUAAAGGGAAUUUUCAGAGCUGAAGUCAUCAACACGGAAGAGGCAAGCAGGGGAGAGGCUGGAAGGAAUGUGGAGAUUCCCUCUUCCCCUUGCUGGUCUGGGCUAUAAUGGAGAAGACCUGGGGCUCCUUAUGAGUGCUGACCCAAAAAAGUCUGGGCAGAAGGUGAUCAUCCCAGGCUGCUCAGGAUCGUGCAGUUAUUGAGCUCAAACAAAGCACUGUGGGGUAGAGAGCUGAGCACUGGGUUUGGAGCCAGGAACCCUGGCUCUCAGGCCCUCCUCUGCCAUCCUCUUGCUGGCUGAUCUCCAGUCAGUGAGCUAUUCUGAACUUUGUCUUAUCUGGGAAAUAGAAAUGAUAACAUUUAUGUUUGCAAUGGACUGAAUAGUGUCCCUCUCCACAAAUUCAGACAUUGAAACACUGACCCCUUGAGGAGCUGUAUUCAGAGAUGGGGCUUUCAGGAAGUAAUAACGGUUCAGUGAGGUGAGAAAGGUGGGGCCCCAUUCUGAUGGUACUGGAG
rnacentral:lncRNA from 1 species